CCAGAAUGGAUAAGGUUGCUCCAAUCUUCUUCUCGUGCGGUUCCUGAGGGGAAAAUUACCGCCGUCGGCGGCGGACACGAGGGCUCGCCGGGCCAGGGAGAGGAUCCAGGCGCCACCAAACCUCGUACGCGAGGACACCGCCGUUGCUCGGACUUGAGCGCGGGCCACCUCCACCGCGUGAUGCGGCUGCUCUGUGGAGAGCCGGGCCGAGGCCCGCUCGGAGGAGCGGCGUGUCGUGGCUGUGGUGUCCGCCGCGCCCGGAGGACUGAUGCUUCUGCGACCGUCCUCGACGAGGUUGUUGCCGCUACAGUGAUGGCGAGACGGCGAGACGGUGAGCAGCAGUGGCCGCUAGUUCCAGUUCAAGAAAUUAGAAAAAGACAUGGCGUUCGUGCCGAGAGGAGCCAGGCCGAGGGGAGCGUCGUUGCGCCGAUGCGCGCCACUGCCUCCUGUCCCGCAGCGGGCUGCAACGAUGAGACUCUGUGCGCGUGCCGGCCGGAGGGUGUCGCUGCAGAGGGUGGUCGGCCAUGGCCAUAUCCUCCGCGCCGUCGAUCUGCGCGGAUGUGAGCCUUUUCUUGUUCUGCUCUUUUUGUUUGUAGUUCAAGAAUGAUCAAUUCUUCGUGAGAUUCGUGUGAGCGCAUAUAUACUAUUAGUUUUCCUAUCAACAAGAUGUGUUCUUCAUCCUCUGCAAUGAUGUUCUGCUCUUCUCUUGUCCGGCCAAAUCGCUCGAUAGGAGAGCAAAGUGCAUGAUAACGUGUUUUGAGUGAAAAGUAAAGAACGA
rnacentral:rRNA from 1 species